rnacentral:lncRNA from 1 species
UUUCUUUGGCAUUGGGAAUAUGGAGUAGAAAACCAACAAAGCAUAUAUCCACCUCAGCAAAUAGUUAACCUUAACUCAUAAUAGCUCAUCAAUCACAAUUACAUUCUUCAAACCUACAACUAUAACUAAAUUAAAGUACAAGAAAAGGAUUUAUGGCAUAAUAAGUAAGUCGAUAACGGAACACCAAUAAUCACCCAAAUUUCAAACCUAGUGCACUUUACAAACAAAAUACCUUGUGGACAGUAUAAGUCAUACACAUAACAGUAGAAUGCAAAAAUAAUCAGUCAUACAGGCAAUUCAUCCAUCAUUGUCUCAGAAAGACCAACAUCCAACAAUAAGAAAAUCAACAUGGUAGAUCCAAGUCAAAUGACUCAAAUCAACAUUAAAUAAGAAAUUAAACUAAAUGACAUGAUAAUCUUGUAGAUCAAGCAACUUACAGUUGUUAAAACAUAAAAGUCAAAAAAGUAGUUUAAAGAAAUGAAACAGUUUUAGAGGCCUCAAAUUCUAAUACAUUGCAUAAAGGCUGAUUUUUUGAUACCCUGAAUGUAAGGCAUAUAUGCUAAUUAAGAAUAAUUUAUAGAAACAAAAGGUUUUGUGCCCAGCUAAAAUGGGUUAAUUAUAGGAUAUCAAAAAUAAAAGAUUUACUAUGAAGGAAAAAUAUCUGCAUUAACAGCAAGGAGGUAAUAGUCAAAUGCAACUCUGCAAAGAAGCAAGUGUAGCAACAAACUCAUAAUGGUGUUCAGAAAUACAAAUAAAUUGAGUCCAUCAAGACUUCCUUAUCGAGUAGACACAAAACUCAGAGCAUUAUCCUAGAAUAGAAGAGGGAGAGGGCUGAGCCUAAUCAGAAAAACAUAAUUGCAUUACUGAACGGUCACACAAUUAUCGGUACAUGCGCAGAACACUAAGAGCACAUAUACCAAACAAGUGAAUGCUAUGCAUCCUUGAAGCAGCAAAUACAAUCAAGAAGAUCAAUGCUGACAAAGCCUAAAGGUUGUUUCCCUGAAAACUGACUCCUUUGGACAGCAAAUAUGUCGCAUACCCUAGCAUCAGAUAUUCUGGUUUCAGAAGACUUCUUUAUCCUAGCAAUAUACUUACAUGAUGGCUGAUUGUCCUUAGAGCUUAAUCACAAAGUACAACCAUGCCUUUGUUACAAACUUCAUAUCAUCUGUGUUUUCUUAUCUUUACUUGUAACACAACUCAAAAAUCAAAAUCUGCUGCUUUGUUAGGUUCAUAUUCUGUGUAAGAUGUCAAAACAGUGACAAAAAGGAACUGU